rnacentral:rRNA from 1 species
UACGUAGGGUGCGAGCGUUGCCCGGAUUUAUUGGGCGUAAAGGGCGCGCAGGCGGCUACGCACGUCCGUUGUGAAAUCGCUCGGCUCAACUGGGCGGGGUCAGCGGAUACGGCGUAGCUGGAGCAAGCUGAGGGGGCAAGUGGAAUUCCCGGUGUAGUGGUGGAAUGCGUAGAUAUCGGGAGGAACACCAGUGGCGAAGGCGGUUGCCUGGAGCUUUGCUGACGCUGAG